AAACAUGUCUUUUUGAAAAUAAUUUAAAGUCUAAUCUGCCCCCUGAUNAAAUUAUUAAAGGGCUGCAGUAUUUUGACUGUACAAAGGUAGCAUAAUCAUUAGUCUCUUAAUUGGUGACUUGUAUGAAAGAUUGGAUGAAAUAUAUACUGUCUCUAUUUAAUUUAUAAAAUUUAAUUUUUUAGUAAAAAAGCUAAAAUGAGUUUAAAAGACGAGAAGACCCUAUAGAGUUUAAUAAUUUAUUUAAUUAUUAUUAAUAUAUAAAUUUUAAAAUUAAAAUUAAAUAAAUUAUUUUGUUGGGGUGAUAGAAAAAUUAAAUUAACUUUUUUUUUAUUUCAUACAUUAAUUUAUGAAUAAAUGAUCCAUUAAUAAUGAUUAAAAGAAAAAAUUACCUUAGGGAUAACAGCGUAAUUUUUUUUUUUAGUUCAAAUAGGAAAAAAAGUUUGCGACCUCGAUGUUGGAUUAAGAUAAAAUUUAAAUGCAAAAGUUUAAAAUUUUGAUCUGUUCAAUCAUUAAAA
rnacentral:rRNA from 1 species